UACGUAGGGUGCGAGCGUUGUCCGGAAUUACUGGGCGUAAAGAGCUCGUAGGUGGUUUGUCGCGUUGUCCGUGAAAACUCACAACUCAAUUGUGGGCGUGCGGGCGAUACGGGCAGACUGGAGUACUGCAGGGGAGACUGGAAUUCCUGGUGUAGCGGUGGAAUGCGCAGAUAUCAGGAGGAACACCGGUGGCGAAGGCGGGUCUCUGGGCAGUAACUGACGCUGAGGAGCGAAAGCCAGGGGAGCAAACAGG
rnacentral:rRNA from 1 species